AUUGAACGCUGGCGGCAUGCUUUACACAUGCAAGUCGAACGGUAACAGGCCGCAAGGUGCUGACGAGUGGCGCACGGGUGAGUAAUGCAUCGGAACGUGCCCAGUCGUGGGGGAUAACUACUCGAAAGAGUAGCUAAUACCGCAUACGAUCUAUGGAUGAAAGCGGGGGACCGUAAGGCCUCGCGCGAUUGGAGCAGCCGAUGUCAGAUUAGGUAGUUGGUGGGGUAAAGGCUCACCAAGCCAACGAUCUGUAGCUGGUCUGAGAGGACGACCAGCCACACUGGGACUGAGUCACGGCCCAGACUCCUACGGGAGGCAGCAGUGGGGAAUUUUGGACAAUGGGCGCAAGCCUGAUCCAGCAAUGCCGCGUGCAGGAAGAAGGCCUUCGGGUUGUAAACUGCUUUUGUACGGAACGAAACGGCUCUGGUUAAUACCCGGGGCUAAUGACGGUACCGUAAGAAUAAGCACCGGCUAACUACGUG
rnacentral:rRNA from 1 species